CCUACGGGGGGCUGCAGUGGGGAAUAUUGCGCAAUGGGCGAAAGCCUGACGCAGCGACGCCGCGUGAGGGAUGAAGGUCUUCGGAUCGUAAACUUCUGUCAGCAGGGAAGAACGGUCACUGUGCUAAUCAGUAGCGAAUUGACGGUACCUGCAAAGGAAGCACCGGCUAACUCCGUGCCAGCAGCCGCGGUAAUACGGAGGGUGCGAGCGUUAAUCGGAAUUACUGGGCGUAAAGCGCUCGUAGGCGGUAUGUCAAGUCAAGGGUGAAAUCCCCGCGCUCAACGUGGGAACUGCCUUUGAAACUGGCAAACUGGAGUGUGUGAGAGGGUAGUAGAAUUCCAGGUGUAGGAGUGAAAUCCGUAGAUAUCUGGAGGAACAUCAGUGGCGAAGGCGACUAUCUGGCACAUAACUGACGCUGAGGAGCGAAAGCGUGGGUAGCAAACAGGAUUAGAUACCCCUGUAGUC
rnacentral:rRNA from 1 species